rnacentral:rRNA from 1 species
CCUACGGGAGGCAGCAGUGGGGAAUAUUGGGCAAUGGGCGCAAGCCUGACCCAGCAACGCCGCGUGAAGGAAGAAGGCCCUCGGGUUGUAAACUUCUUUUAUUCGGGACGAAACAAAUGACGGUACCGAAUGAAUAAGCCACGGCUAACUACGUGCCAGCAGCCGCGGUAAUACGUAGGUGGCAAGCGUUAUCCGGAUUUACUGGGUGUAAAGGGCGUGUAGGCGGGAAAGCAAGUCAGAUGUGAAAACCAUGGGCUCAACCUGUGGCCUGCAUUUGAAACUGUUUUUCUUGAGUACUGGAGAGGCAGACGGAAUUCCUAGUGUAGCGGUGAAAUGCGUAGAUAUUAGGAGGAACACCAGUGGCGAAGGCGGUCUGCUAGACAGCAACUGACGCUGAGGCGCGAAAGCGUGGGGAGCAAACAGGAUUAGAUACCCUGGUAGUC